AAUGUCACACCAUUGACAAAUAUUGGCUACGCGCCAAGGAUGGAAAUGGUAACACAUGCGGGUGUUACUUUAUAAAAUGGUUCACCGUUCGAUGAGGACAUCGAACUUCGUCUAUGGGUGGUGGAGUUGUGAGACACAAAAUCCCUAGGCCCCAAAGUGGAGCCGGAAAGGGUGCCACGUGGUAGUGGCUGAAGCGAGAGCCAAACGAGUGUAACACGUUUGGACCAAAAGCUCCGACUUGAAAAGUCAAGAGCGGGAGUGGAACUCCCAACGAAGUGCUCGAGGAACGAGCACGAAGCGAGCAAAAGGCGAGGCUCCAAAAAAGGGACCCAAAAAGGGCCAACACAUGACACGUGGGAGUGUCCGAGAUGGACUCGAGUUGGAGUCCGAAUUGGAGUCCGAGAUGGACCCGAGUUGGAGUCCGAAGUGGAGUCCAAGAUGGACCCGAG
rnacentral:lncRNA from 1 species